GCCAUGGAGUGCUAGCAUCACUGCAUCCUGUCGUGUGAGUCUGUAGUAUUUUUAUAAAUAUUGCCAGUAAAUACAAUUGGUGUGUGCCGACAACUACAAAAUUAAUAGAGAUGACUGAAGCUGAUGAGGUGCUUUACAUCGUGAGGCACGCUGAAUAUAAAAAUAGAUUACGAAGAUUGGAGACCUGACCUAACCUAACCUAACCCUCUCCUGUAGCAAGGAAUCGGAGUGUUACAGUGAGUCUGUCUUCUGCAGAUGUAGCAGUUCUUAAUUUCGAAGCUGCCUGCGUCUCAAUUUUAAAGGCAUAUGCAAUUUAUUUAUGGAAUUGCAUUUACAUCAUAUUCAGUGAAGUAAUGAUAUGCAUUUAACCGUUCGCAACCAUAUACGUGUUUCUAUGUUCUGAAAACACAGCAGUGGAUGGGAACCUGCUAUAAAUCGCUGCAGCAACGAUAGCAAUUGCUGGAAGAGGGAAAGAAGGAUAGAAGAGGCAGGAAAAGAGGUUGUUGGUCGCGAAAUUGGCUGCACAGACAUGAACAUGCACAGUAUGCUGACGGAGUAGCUGGAACCAGAGAAUCCCAAUGAAUUCCGCUAUUUUGUGCGCAUGUUACGAUAAAUUGUGUCGUUCAUCAGCGAUAACAUUCAUCACAAAGACACGAUCAUGAGGGAAUAAAUUUCUCCUAUUCGAAGGCUUGCUGUUACUAUCAGGUUCUAGGCAACGGGAGAAAGUUACAAGAGUUUGCCAUUCUCACACAGAAUGUUUGUGCUGAGUAUUUCACACACUAUCAUUCAAGUACACACAGCAAUUUGAAAUGUACUGAAAGAUAAAUAUUUUAAGGCUCCAACAACAGAAAGAGAAUGGCAAGUGAUUGCCAACAUGUUUCAUGAACUGUAGCAGUCCCCAAAUUGUUUCGUUGGUGCCACAUUGGGCGACUUGCAGCCGAUGAUGAUGAUGAUGAUGAUGAUGAUGAUGAUGACAAAACACAACACCCAAUCCAACCCGGCCGGGAAUCGAACCCGGGCCUGCUGUAUGGGAGGUAAGCACGUUACCACUCGGCUAAGCAAGUAGACGACCCUAUUUUCGUAAUACUAGUAAAAAGGACUUUAUCGUUAAUAAAAAUAAAUAAUUAUUGUCAAUGAUAUAACUUAAAAUUUUGUAAAAAAAAAUUAUAUCUGGCAGUACCCAUGUAAAAAGAUAACAUCUCAAUCUUUUGUUAUCUAUGAUUUUGUAGAAAAAUCCUCCUCCUCGUUUGUAACUGUUGUGCUCAUAGGAUGUGACUGAUGUCUUGUAAUACAGAGGUCUGAAAAAAAAAAAAAAA